GCGUCUUAAGCAUGCAAGUCAAACGGAAUGUAGCAAUACAUUUAGUGGCGAACGGGUGAGUAACGCGUGGAUGAUCUACCUAUGAGAUGGGGAUAACUACUAGAAAUAGUAGCUAAUACCGAAUAAGGUCAAUUAAUUUGUUAAUUGAUGAAAGGAAGCCUUUAAAGCUUCGCUUGUAGAUGAGUCUGCGUCUUAUUAGUUAGUUGGUGGGGUAAAUGCCUACCAAGACGAUGAUAAGUAGCCGGCCUGAGAGGGUGAACGGUCACACUGGAACUGAGAUACGGUCCAGACUCCUACGGGAGGCAGCAGCUAAGAAUCUUCCGCAAUGGGCGAAAGCCUGACGGAGCGACACUGCGUGAAUGAAGAAGGUCGAAAGAUUGUAAAAUUCUUUUAUAAAUGAGGAAUAAGCUUUGUAGGAAAUGACAAAGCGAUGACGUUAAUUUAUGAAUAAGCCCCGGCUAAUUACGUGCCAGCAGCCGCGGUAAUACGUAAGGGGCGAGCGUUGUUCGGGAUUAUUGGGCGUAAAGGGUGAGUAGGCGGAUAUAUAAGUCUAUGCAUAAAAUACCACAGCUCAACUGUGGAGCUAUGUUGGAAACUAUAUGUCUAGAGUCUGAUAGAGGAAGUUAGAAUUCCUGGUGUAAGGGUGGAAUCUGUUGAUAUCAGGAAGAAUACCGGAGGCGAAGGCGAACUUCUGGGUCAAGACUGACGCUGAGUCACGAAAGCGUAGGGAGCAAACAGGAUUAGAUACCCUGGUAGUCUACGCUGUAAACGAUGCACACUUGGUGUUAACUAAAAGUUAGUACCGAAGCUAACGUG
rnacentral:rRNA from 1 species